rnacentral:tRNA from 1 species
UGGGUCGUUAGCUCAGAGGUAGAGCAGUUGGCUUUUAACCAAUUGGUCGUAGGUUCGAAUCCUACACGACCCAU